GUAAACACCAGGCGUCUUGCCACACGUUUCCUCAGUAACGUGUCAGGUUUCCGUUGGCGGCGAUGACGGCUUGGACGCGUCGCGGCAUCGACUCGUACAGCCUCACGACCACCUCAGGGGUCAGCACCAACGGGGGGCCAAGGCAGAGUGCGGAUGGCAAGGUUCUCGAGUACCGUGGCCACCAUGCGAGCUGUGUGGAUGGGACUUCGGUCGUGCUGCAGCUGGUAGCAGCCAUCCUCGAAUGGUCCCUCCAGGGCGUAAGGCACCAGCACUUCCUGCAGCAAUCUGCAAUACGCGGAUGCCGUGAAGGAUCCAUUGAUGCGGACAAGUGGACAGAGUCCCUCCUUGCUGAUGGCUCCCCAUGCGCUCACGGCGCAGCGGCCGCUGGACAAAACGUUGUGGCAAUAUUCUGGAAGGUAUCUGGGGGAAUUUAAUCAGAAAAAUCAGUGUUUCGCCGGAGUACGGGACGCAUCAAUUACUCAUAAUAAUAUAUCUGUCAUCUUACGUGCCAUAACAACAUAGGAUUAUAGGGCAUGCAUGCCGUCGUGGAGGGCUACGGAACUUUUGACUGUCAGGUCCUCUUUUAACAUGCACUGACAUCACACAAUACACCGGCAUUUAGCAUUUCAACUCCAUAAAAAUGCGAUUGCCACUGCCGAGAUUGAACCCGCGACUUUCGGGUAAGCUGCCGAGCGUCCUGUAUAUAAUUCAGGUGCUACGGAAUAGUCGCGACAGGUAACUUAGCGAUGCUUCAAGGCCCGCGUGAUAUUAUAUAUGUUGAAAUACUUUCUUCUAUGGGAGAAAAGAUAUAUAAAUCUUGCCUCGGAAGGAGACAAGCAAUGACAUUUGUAUUAUAAGUGUUGUUGUUCACGGGAGGGUUUGGUACAAAGUGUGAGGAGCUGACAAAUGGCAUUACUGAAGUAAUGGUCAAUUUGUUAACUGCCACGAAUCAAACCUGCAGGUGAAUCUCACCUGCAAUUCAUAGGGCGCCAUACAUGACGCUGCUGGUCCCAUCGCGAAGAGAAGGUAGAUUCGUCGGUGAAAAUUACUUCGCCCCAUUCUUCCACCGUGCAGCCCUCCACAGAACGCGCAAACUCGAGCCUUAGCUGCCUCUGUCGCUCCGUCAACUGAGGUUUCUGAGCAGCCACGCAGCCCCGCAGCCCGGCCUCUCGCAGUCGCCGCCGAAUAGUGCUGAGGGAGACGUCCAGUUGAAGCUCACGGCGGAUUUCCUUGGCAUCAAUGAAUGGGUCUACCACCACACAGGCCACGAUAAGCGAAUCAGUUUCAGUGUCCGUUGCUCCUGGACGUCCACUGCGCUCUCUGUCAGCAAGACUUCCUCCAUGGUCGCGGUAGGUCCUGAUAAUUCUACUAACUGCGGCCCUUGACCUAUUCAUCAAGCGGCAGAUUGCGCGUUGGGACCAUCCCUGCAACGACAGCUCCACAAUACGUUGUCGCUGCUCCAGUGGCACGUAUGGCGGCAUUGCAAAUACAAAAUGAAGCACUACCACUUCGAUGCUGCUUCCACAGUCUGCUACCUAGGAGCCGUUUACAUUAUCCGUCAACGUGACCGUCGGCUCUCAUCGCUUGCAGUGAUAACGGAGGUAGGGCGUCGGACUAAGCGUGCUAAGGAUGGCCACACAGAAUUGCUGCAGCAUAUGCGGCCGAAUGCUUCAACCUAUGCCUCUUUUUGUCGCUUGGCAUAACCAUCAUUCAGGGGUUCAAUUAUCAAGCGGAAUCAUCUGAGAUAUAAAAUGCAACCCUACGCACUAGCGACCGACUGACACCUUUUUUGUCGAUGCAAGCUGGCGCCAAAACCGAAGGCGCAUCCACGAGCCCUCACUGGCAUUUCUUGAUGUUGCAUUAAUUACCACAAUUCCCAUUAUUAUAAUUUAGAUACUUUGUUGCACAUUUCCA
rnacentral:lncRNA from 1 species